UGGUAUGUUGAAGAGGUUGUGGC
rnacentral:siRNA from 1 species